rnacentral:rRNA from 1 species
UACACACCGCCCGUCACACCAUGGGAGUGGGUUGCACCAGAAGUAGCUAGUCUAACCGCAAGGGGGACGGUUACCACGGCGUGAUUCAUGACUGGGGUG